UACGAAGGGGGCUAGCGUUGCUCGGAAUCACGUGGGCGUAAAGGGUGGCGUAGGCGGGUCUUUAAGUCAGGGGUGAAAUCCUGGAGCUCAACUCCCAGAACUGCCUUUGAUACUGAAGAUCUUGAGUCCGGGAGAGGUGAGUGGAACUGCGAGUGUAGAGGUGAAAUUCGUAGAUAUUCGCAAGAACACCAGUGGCGAAGGCGGCUCACUGGCCCGGUACUGACACUGAGGAGCGAAAGCGUGGGUAGCAAACAGGAUUAGAAACCCCGAGUAGUCCGAGAAGCCAAUCAUGUCC
rnacentral:rRNA from 1 species